GAUGAACGCUAGCGGCAGGCCUAAUACAUGCAAGUCGAACGGAUAUAUGUUUUUCGGAAUAUAUAUUAGUGGCGCACGGGUGAGUAACACGUACAUAACUUGCCCUCAAGCGGGGGAUAGCCUUGGGAAACUGAGAGUAAUACCCCAUAGAAUUAUUGGACGGCAUCGUUUGAUAAUUAAAACUACGGUGCUUGGGGAUAGAUGUGCGUCUGAUUGGCUAGUUGGUGAGGUAACUGCUCACCAAGGCGACGAUCAGUAGGGGGCGUGAGAGCGUGGCCCCCCACACGGGUACUGAGACACGGACCCGACUCCUACGGGAGGCAGCAGUAAGGAAUAUUGGUCAAUGGAGGGAACUCUGAACCAGCCAUGCCGCGUGAAGGAUGACGGCCCUCUGGGUUGUAAACUUCUUUUGGAUGGGGACGAAAAAACGGGNUUUAUCCUGGACUGACGGUACCAUCAGAAUAAGCACCGGCUAACUCCGUG
rnacentral:rRNA from 1 species